UCCUACGGGGGGCAGCAGUGGGGAAUAUUGGACAAUGGGCGAAAGCCUGAUCCAGCAAUGCCGCGUGAGUGAUGAAGGCCCUAGGGUUGUAAAGCUCUUUUACCCGGGAUGAUAAUGACAGUACCGGGAGAAUAAGCUCCGGCUAACUCCGUGCCAGCAGCCGCGGUAAUACGGAGGGAGCUAGCGUUGUUCGGAAUUACUGGGCGUAAAGCGCGCGUAGGCGGUCCAUCAAGUCAGAGGUGAAAGCCCGGGGCUCAACCCCGGAACUGCCUUUGAAACUGGCGGACUAGAAUCUUGGAGAGGCGAGUGGAAUUCCGAGUGUAGAGGUGAAAUUCGUAGAUAUUCGGAAGAACACCAGUGGCGAAGGCGACUCGCUGGACAAGUAUUGACGCUGAGGUGCGAAAGCGUGGGGAGCAAACAGGAUUAGAUACCCUAGUAGUC
rnacentral:rRNA from 1 species